AAACUACUUCCUCCGUUCCGAAUUACUUGUCUUAGAUUUGUCUAGAUACGUAAGUAUCUAGCACUAAAAUGAGUCUAGAUACAUCCGUAUCUAGACAAAUCCAAGACAAGUAAUUCGGAACGAAGGGAGUACAUA
rfam:Triticum aestivum genome assembly, contig: Triticum_aestivum_CS42_TGACv1_scaffold_288403_4AL